rnacentral:lncRNA from 1 species
UCUGUCUCUGUCUUUCUUUGUCUCUCUUUCUGUCUUUCUGUCUUUUACCUCUUUCUGUCCCUGUCUCUUUUCUCUUUGUCUCUCUGUCUUUAUCUUUCUCUCUCUUCCUCUUUUAUCUCUUUCUGUCCCUGUCUCUCUCUUUCUCUUUGUCUCUCUGUCUUUCUUUGUCUCUCUGUCUCUUUCUCUUUCUCUUUCUGUCCCUGUCUCUCUCUGUCUCUCUCUUUCUCUUUGUCUCUGUCUUUCUUUGUCUCUCUUUCUGUCUUUAUCUCUUUCUGUCCCUGUCUCUUUCUCUUUGUCUCUCUGUCUUUCUUUAUCUCUCUGUCUCUCUCUUUCUCUCUCGUAUCUGUCUCUCUGUUACUCUGUCUCUCUGUUUCUCUGUCUCUCUGUUUCUCGGUCUCUAUCUCUCUUUCUCUAUCUCUUCCUGUCUCUGUCUCUGUCUUUCUCUCUAGUCUCUGCUCUGUUACUCUGUAUCUGUGACUCUCUCUGUGGGUCUCUGUGUCUGUGUCUGUCUCUUUGUCUCUCUCCCCCUCUGUCUAUGUCUCUGUUACUCUAUAUCUCUGUUACUCUGUCUCUGUCUGUCUGUCUCUCUCCCUUCUCUCCCCAAUUUGCUUACUUGUGUGAGUGUUGUUCGCUCCCAAGAGAAGGUAAGCUCCUUGAGGGCAGGACUUGUUUCACUUUUGUCUUGGUUUUCCUAUAUGAGUAACAGCAAGAUAUAGAUAUAGAUAUAGAUAUAUAGAUAUAGUUGAACUUGGAAUGGAUGGACAAUGGAUAGUGCUGGACUCGGAACGAGGAAGACCUGGGUUGAAAUUCUACACAGAUUCUUGCUAGUGGGAUCCUGGGCGAAGUCAUUUAGCUGCUCUCAGCCUCAAUUUCCUCAUCUGUAAAAUGGGCAUAUUAACACCCAUCUUAGAGGGUUUCUGGAGGAAUCAAAUGAGAUAACAUAUAAAAUGUUUUGUAAACCCCUAUAUGAUAAAGGCUAAUGAUUAUUAUCCCUUAAUAAUUGCAUGUGAAAUAAAUGAAUGAAUUUAGUUCA